rnacentral:rRNA from 1 species
AACGAACGCUGGCGGCAGGCUUAACACAUGCAAGUCGAACGCAUGCCUUCGGGCAUGAGUGGCAGACGGGUGAGUAACGCGUGGGAACCUACCCCUUGGUACGGGAUAGCUCCGGGAAACUGGAGAUAAUACCGUAUGUGUCCUGAGGGACAAAGAUUCAUCGCCAAGGGAUGGGCCCGCGUCGGAUUGGCUAGUUGGUGGGGUAACGGCCUACCAAGGCGACGAUCCGUAGCUGGUCUAAGAGGAUGAUCAGCCACAUUGGGACUGAGACACGGCCUAAACCCCUCGGGGGGGGGGGGGUGGGGAAAAUGGGACAGAGGGCGCAAGCCUGACCCGCCCCGGCCGGGAUGGAGGUGAAGGCCCUGGGGUUGUAAGGCUCUUUCCCCGGGGACAAAAAGACGGGAACCGGAGAAAAAGGCCCGGCCUAAUUUCGG